rfam:Picea glauca, whole genome shotgun sequence.
AUGUACAUUCCUAUAGCAUAGCGUUAAUUCACCAGAUCCCAUUAGAAAUUUGUAGUUAAGCACGCUCAGGCUAGAGUAGUACUGGGAUGGAUGACCUCCCAGGAAGUCCUAGUGUUUUACAUG